UAAACAUCAAACCUAUAACCCAGAAAUUCUCCUGUGAGGAACCCUUCCCCAGGGAACUCCUCUGUGGGAAGAUGUGAACAUGGCCAUGAGCGAGCAUUGUUUAUGGUACUGAAAAUUCAUAAUGUCCACCAGGAAGGAACUGGCUGAAUAACUUGUGCUAUAUUCACAUGCACACAUUCGAACAGCAGUUAAAAUAAAUGAGAUAGUUUUAUAGGAAUCAACUGCAUGAGAGCUUAAAGCUGCAGUAUGAAUACAGUGAGUGAAGAAAGCAUGUUUCAGAAUUAUAAAUUCAGUACGACUUUAUGGAAAUAGUAAAAACAAUAAAGCUUUGCUAUCUUGUCUUUUUGGACGCAUAGCCGUAGAGCAAAAUAAGACUGUUAGGAUGGGAAGAACACAUACCAACUUCCGGUGGGGUUUGCCUGUCAGACCAAGGAGAGGGAGUGGGGCUGGGGGAGGGGUACCCAGCAGAUGCAAUCGUAGCUGCAUGAUUUUAUUGCUUUAGAAAUCUCCCAGGCAUUUUUGGAGAUGUUAACAUCUGUUAAUUGCAGGUGGUGGGUACACAGGCAGUAGUAGUUCUCUUUGUAAUUUUUCAUAGUCUGGAAGUAUCAUGUGUUCUCUUCCCUCAUUUCAGUAAAAAAGGCCUGGAGCCCUUUGUGGUGGAGGGGAAUGUGGCUGAGCACAGAGGCGGAGGCAGAAGAGCCGGCUGCUGAGUUCCUGGAGGGCUGCGUGUCCCCUGCUGGGCUGUGAGCCCGUGAACCCAGGACCAGGAAAAUUUGCUGUCAACUCCCAGCAUGGUUCACUUCUUGAUUUUCCCCUAUGGCUGACUUCAAUACCAAGCUCUGCUUUCUACAAAAGCCCGGAGGCAUGAAAUGGAUUAGCUCUUGGAAAACUGGGAGCCCCUUGGCUCGAGGCUCCCACAAGAGCCCGUUUUGUGUCUGAACUGACGAGAUAGUGAAUCAAGGAAUCCUGCUGCACCAGGAACCACCCCGUGUUCCACAGAGAGCGCAGUGCUCCCGUAAUCUAAAUGGUGGGCUCCAUGCAGGGAGCCCUGCAGACACAGCUUAGCUUCCCCGAGGGUCAAGCGAGGAGGGAAGGGCUUUCAAAGGUUUGCUGCAUCGGCUGUCAGCUGCAAGCUCCUUUGUUUCUGCAGGGCCAGGAGAGCACUGCCGGAGGCCAAGCUCUCCUAACUCAAGCUCAGGCUCCCACUUUGGUGCCAGUUCCAAUCACAGGGGGCACGGGGUGGCCAGGAGCUGUGGCUGCCAAGGUUGGGCAGCAACCAGAACUUGGGGUGUGGAAGAGGGGUUGUUGAGAGCCUUCUGGACGGCACUGUGGGCCACUUUGUUUCUUUCUUUGGGCAGUUCUCUGCUUUUACUGUCACAUCUCCCUUGGCCCAGGUACGAAGAAGAAAAGGUUGCCCACCAUUCCAGUUCUACAAGGAUCAAGGCAUCCUCUACUGCUGUCACCCACCCCAUGACAGUGCGCCCUGAGGGGGAUUCAGGAUAGAGUUAAUCAGGGAGUACUCUGUGCUUUGGAUGAAAGGGGCCCCUAGCUAGUUAGAUGCAUACCUCAGGAAGAAUUUCAAUGACCCCAGAUCUUAUACCUUCCCGUACAUAGAAAAACACUAAAAUCAUUAACUUGAGAUGUCUGUUCUUUGUGAUUAGCAGUUGUCUUUUUAUGCUAGACUGCAUGUUUUUCUCAGCAAAAAAGUUCAUAUAUGUCCUGGCUCCUUCCAGGAGCCUUCUGCUUCCUCUUUGGAGCAGUUCCUCAGAGCUAC